AUUCAGCUGACGAGUCCCAAAUAGGACGAAAUGCCUAUCCUGGAU
rfam:Schistosoma rodhaini strain Burundi genome assembly, scaffold: SROB_scaffold0001819